rnacentral:rRNA from 1 species
AUUGAACGCUGGCGGCAGGCUUAACACAUGCAAGUCGAGCGGGGAAGGGUAGCUUGCUACCUGACCUAGCGGCGGACGGGUGAGUAAUGCUUAGGAAUCUGCCUAUUAGUGGGGGACAACAUUCCGAAAGGAAUGCUAAUACCGCAUACGCCCUACGGGGGAAAGCAGGGGAUCUUCGGACCUUGCGCUAAUAGAUGAGCCUAAGUCAGAUUAGCUAGUUGGUGGGGUAAAGGCCUACCAAGGCGACGAUCUGUAGCGGGUCUGAGAGGAUGAGCCGCAACACUGGGACGGAGACACGCCCCAGACUCCUACGGGAGGUAGCAGUGGGGAAUAUUGGACAAUGGGCGAAAGCCUGAUCCAGCCAUGCCGCGUGUGUGAAGAAGGCCUUUUGGUUGUAAAGCACUUUAAGCGAGGAGGAGGCUACCGAGAUUAAUACUCUUGGAUAGUGGACGUUACUCGCAGAAUAAGCACCGGCUAACUCUGUGCCAGCCGCCGCCGUAACAC